rnacentral:lncRNA from 13 species
ACCAAUAUAAAUUACCUAUUAUUUUUAAUUUAGCUUUAAAACCAUACUAGUAUUUUUGGACAAAAGUUGGAUAAAUGUUAACCUACAUAUUAAGGAUUUUCAUAAACUUAUUGCCAAAUUUGUUACAAAUUAACUUUACAAUCAAGAGUCACUCAUUCUUUCAUUUUAAAAAACACUGAGUAUUAAAAUAUAUAGAAAUUUUUAAAAAUCUGAUAUAUUUAUUUAAUGGAUACAGAAAAAAGGAGAAGAAAAGAUGAGAAGAGAAAAAGAUUCGGAGAGAGAAGUUUCUAGGAGUCAGAAAUUGAGGAGUGGCUUUACUAUGUUUAUGGAACAGAGACUCUCUUGUCGGUCAUCAACUUGUCAAGUAGGAUUGCCGUCAUCUGAAGUGUUUUUGUUGUUUUGUUUGUUGAGACAACCGAAAGUGUGGAUAAAUAUACCUGUUUUCUAUAAACUGAUGGCAUUUUAUGGCACUAAAUAUAUUCUCUAUAAAUAUCUGUCAUAUAUAUAUGUACAUAUAGUCAUUUGUUGCUUAACAGUAGAGAUAUAUAAAGAGAAAUGUGUUGUUUGGUGAUUUUAUCUUAAUGCAAAAGCAUGUACUUAGACAAACCUAAAGAGUAUAGCCUACUACACACCUAGGUUAUAUGGUACACCUGUUGCUCCUAGUGUAGCUCAGAGCACGUUACUGUACUGAAUACUGCAAACAACUGUAACACAAUAGUAAAUAUUUCUGUAUCAAUACAUACAAAAUGUAAAGUUAAAGUAGCGUAUAAAAGUUUUAAAAUGGUACACUUCAUAGGGCACUUGCCAUGAAUGAAGCUCGCAGGACUGGAGUUCUUCAUUCAUGGCAAGUGCCCACUCGCAUGAAUGAAGUUACUCUGGGUGAGCCAGUAAGUGGGUGGGGAGUGAAUGUGAAGGCCUCGGACAUUUCUACAUAUUACUGCAAACUUUAGAAUAGCUGUAUCCUUAGCCUACCCUAAAUUUACAAAGACAUUUUUUUGUUUCUUCAAUGAUAAAGUAACCUUAGUUUAAUGUAAUUUUUUAACUUUAUAAGCCUUUUAAUGUUUAAUGUUUUUACUCUUAUAACACCUAACUUAAAACACAAAUACAUUGUACAGCUGUACAAAUAUGUGUUUUUUCUGUAGAGGC